GCAGCUGUGGCCUAAUGCUUAGCGCCUCGGACUUGUAACCGGAAGGUUGCCGGUUCGAACCCCGACCAUGUA
rnacentral:tRNA from 1 species